UGAGUAACCUGCCCUUCACUCUGGGAUAACUCCGGGAAACCGGGGCUAAUACUGGAUAUGACUCGAACAGGCAUCUGUUUCGGGUGGAAAGAUUUAUUGGUGGAGGAUGGACUCGCGGCCUAUCAGCUUGUUGGUGAGGUAAUGGCUCACCAAGGCAACGACGGGUAGCCGGCCUGAGAGGGCGACCGGCCACACUGGGACUGAGACACGGCCCAGACUCCUACGGGAGCA
rnacentral:rRNA from 1 species